rnacentral:rRNA from 1 species
CGGUACGUACUGGCAUUGUUGGUUUCUCCCUUCUGACGAACCAUGAUGUCAUUAAUUUGGUGUUGUGGGGAAUCAGGACUGUUACUUUGAAAAAAUUAGAGUGUUUAAAGCAGGCUUAGGCUUGAAUACAUUAGCAUGGAAUAAUGAAAUAGGACGCUUUGAUCCUAUUUCGUUGGUUUCUAGGAUCGACGUAAUGAUUAAUAGGGAUAGUUGGGGGCAUUAGUAUUCAAUUGUCAGAGGUGAAAUUCUUGGAUUUAUUGAAGACUAACUACUGCGAAAGCAUUUGCCAAGGAUGUUUUCAUUAAUCAAGAACGAAAGUUAGGGGAUCGAAGACGAUCAGAUACCGUCGUAGUCUUAACCAUAAACUAUGCCGACUAGGGAUCGGAUGAUGUUAAUUUUUUAAUGACUCAUUCGGCGCCUUACG